rnacentral:rRNA from 1 species
GACGAACGCUGGCGGCGUGGAUUAGGCAUGCAAGUCGAACGGUAUCAUCCUUUCGGGGGUGAGAGAGUGGCGAACUGGUGAGUAACACGUAGGUUAUCUACCCUCAAGACGGGGACAACCCAGGGAAACUUGGGCUAAUACCGGAUGUGAGCAACUUUUAGUUGUUUGAAAGGUGGCGUAAGCUGUCGCUUGGGGAUGAGCCUGCGUCCUAUUAGUUAGUUGGUGAGGUAACGGCUCACCUAGGCAAUGAUAGGUAGGCGGCCUUAACGGGUGGUCGCCCACACUGGGAUUGAGAUACGGCCCAGACUCCUACGGGAGGCAGCAGUCGAGAAUAGUCUACAAUGGUCGGAAGACUGAUAGUGCGACGCCGCGUGAACGAAGAAGCCCUUCGGGUGUAAAGUUCUUUUAUAUGUGAGCAGUGCUUUCUAUGUGAACAGCAUGGGGAGAGAGAUAUUAGCAUAUGAAUAAGCAACGGCUAACUCCGUGCCAGCAGCCGCGGUAAA